GGCUCGCAGGCGGUUUCUUAAGUCUGAUGUGAAAGCCCCCGGCUCAACCGGGGAGGGUCAUUGGAAACUGGGAAACUUGAGUGCAGAAGAGGAGAGUGGAAUUCCACGUGUAGCGGUGAAAUGCGUAGAGAUGUGGAGGAACACCAGUGGCGAAGGCGACUCUCUGGUCUGUAACUGACGCUGAGGAGCGAAAGCGUGGGGAGCGAACAGGAUUAGAUACCCUGGUAGUCCACGCCGUAAACGAUGAGUGCUAAGUGUUAGGGGGUUUCCGCCCCUUAGUGCUGCAGCUAACGCAUUAAGCACUCCGCCUGGGGAGUACGGUCGCAAGACUGAAACUCAAAGGAAUUGACGGGGGCCCGCACAAGCGGUGGAGCAUGUGGUUUAAUUCGAAGCAACGCGAAGAACCUUACCAGGUCUUGACAUCCUCUGACAACCCUAGAGAUAGGGCUUUCCCUUCGGGGACAGAGUGACAGGUGGUGCAUGGUUGUCGUCAGCUCGUGUCGUGAGAUGUUGGGUUAAGUCCCGCAACGAGCGCAACCCUUGAUCUUAGUUGCCAGCAUUCAGUUGGGCACUCUAAGGUGACUGCCGGUGACAAACCGGAGGAAGGUGGGGAUGACGUCAAAUCAUCAUGCCCCUUAUGACCUGGGCUACACACGUGCU
rnacentral:rRNA from 1 species